rnacentral:lncRNA from 1 species
AGAAAUUACUUUUCAUCCCAAUUAAUUUUAUCUAUUAUAAACAAAUAGCAUUGGACAGCAUUGAACUUUAUCAGCAUUUUAACUGUGUCAUGUCUAAUCAAGAUUAUGUGUGAGGCUUUAAAUAUGAAGAGAACUUUAAAACAUUUUCAUUGAUUUUCUGUGUGUUGUAAUUUAUGUAUUGUUAUACGAUUCUUUUAUCUUUAGUAAGAUGUUUAAUUUAAUAUGAUGUACUGUAAAUUUAGAAAUUACUAUGUGCACUUACUGCUCUGACUCUUGAAAAAUAGACAAACUUUUGAAAUAAUUGUGAUUUCCGGAAUUGCUGCAUACAAAAAAUG